rnacentral:rRNA from 1 species
AUUGAACGCUGGCGGCAGGCCUAACACAUGCAAGUCGAGCGGUAACAUUUCUAGCUUGCUAGAAGAUGACGAGCGGCGGACGGGUGAGUAAUGCUUGGGAACAUGCCUUGAGGUGGGGGACAACAGUUGGAAACGACUGCUAAUACCGCAUAAUGUCUAACGGACCAAAGGGGGCUUCGGCUCUCGCCUUUAGAUUGGCCCAAGUGGGAUUAGCUAGUUGGUGAGGUAAUGGCUCACCAAGGCGACGAUCCCUAGCUGGUUUGAGAGGAUGAUCAGCCACACUGGGACUGAGACACGGCCCAGACUCCUACGGGAGGCAGCAGUGGGGAAUAUUGCACAAUGGGCGCAAGCCUGAUGCAGCCAUGCCGCGUGUGUGAAGAAGGCCUUAGGGUUGUAAAGCACUUUCAGCAGUGAAGAAAAGCUUAAGGUUAAUACCCUUGAGUGUUGACGUUAACUGCACAAGAAGCACCGCUAACU